rnacentral:lncRNA from 1 species
AUAUCAUGGUUACCCAAUAUAAUCAGAAGAGGUGGAGAACCUAUUCAGUUUAGGAUUACAAAUGCAAUACGGUCUUUCUCUAAUACAAUACUCUUGACCACAUUGUUUGGUUUGAUAGUUUAUUUAUUCAUGUCCACUAUCCAAUGUGAUUCGUGUGCUUAUAUGAUUACCUUGAAUGUGAUUUGGAACGACUUCCUAAAUCUCAUUCAUACUCUGGCCAGAGAUUCCAAAUCAUAUCAUAGAGUAUUCUCCCUCAAACGGUUUGAAGGUUAGAGAUCCCUUGUUGCACAUUCACUUGUCUCCAUGGCUAAGUGGCUUAACCCCAACGAUGCCGUGGACACCCUCCAAAUAGAGUGACUUUGACAUAAUCAAAGAUCAAGGACUUAACCACAAGACAACUGUGAUGCCUCAGGUCAAAUGACUACUUUGCAUUAUCCCAACCAUGAGUUCUCAUGUGACAUGAAUAUGAGAACUCUUCGUUGAUCGUGUUCAGUGAACUCAUUCUCUAUUGAGCACCUACGUACUUGUCUUGAUGUCACACACACCAAUGACUCGAGACUAGUCACUCUCCCUGAGAGAAGAUACAGCACGUACUGAUCUUAACGGACUGUCAAUGCCCAAUUGGCAAUCCUAUGAUCAUGAACGUUUAGGAUGUGUCUACGAAAGAAUGGUCUCAUGAAUCUAACUUCUUUAGAUCGUAUUCUCCCAAUCACAUAUUCCUUGGACUUAUCGUUUAAGCAUAUAACAUUUAUAUGAGACGGCUUAAACAAUAAUAUUUGCCCUUUAUAUUUAAACUAGAUUAGUUUAACAUGUGAAAUGUCCGUAAAGUAUCAUCAUAUGAUUGGCUUUAGGGCACAUUUCCAACAUAAAUUAGUUUCUCUGAGAAGAGUAAGUGUUUAAGGCUUUUUAGGGUUGUCAAAGUUUACCGAAAUUUGAUAGAAUAUGGGGUAUAUAUAGGGGAGUGGCCGGCCAUGGUGUUAGGGUUUUACCCUACACAUGGCGACAUCUUAUUGGCCAAGGUUUUAUGGAGAAAUAGUCUCAAGAUAUUAAAUAGGAAAUAAUAUCUUGAGAUAAUGGAAUAAUUAUUCCUAAUUGAUUUAAAUAGAGAUUACUUACUUGAAUUGAGUUAAUCUUCAUUUGGGAAUGUAUUAAAGAUAGGAUUGGGAGUAUCGGAGAAGCCUACCCAUUUAAUUAGGGCAAUCUUGUCUUUCUUGGGCAAAAGUCCAUGUGUCGCCUCCAGAAUUUAGACUUCACAAAUGCCCCCACACCUGCUAGCGGUUGUCGCACCUUUGUACAUACUCCUUGGCGUCUUGAUGCAUGGUUGGUCAAUAGUAGCCUUCUUUAAGAGCCUUUUGCGCCAGAGGGCGGCCUCCUGAGUGGUUUCCACAGACAUCUUCAUGGAUUGAGCUAAGAAUCUUCAGGUUGUCGAGAGGUGUGAUAGGAGCAUAUUUAUGCGACUGAGUUAGCUUGUUCUCAUGCAUUUAUGUUGUUAUUUCUUAGUUAAUUAUGUAUUUUAAACUAUUUUUGUGUGUUUGUAGGUCCAUAGGCCUUAUGAAGCAAUAAGAUGCAUUUUGGUGCAUUUUGGAGCAGUUUUAGGCUUGGAAUGAAUAGCACAUGCAUGGAGCAAGGUGGAUGGACGAAAUUGAAAACUAAAGAGGUUAGGAAUGUAUUAAAGAAAAAGAAGAAUUAAUGUAAAAAGGACAAAGAGCUCAGCCACAAAGGGGUGUCACUCCACCAUUCACCUUUCCAUCAUUGUCGUGCACCACCAUUGCACUCCCUUUGGAUUCCUAUGUCAUGCAUCAUCAUCCAUAUUCCCUCCAUUGACUCAUUUGUUGCAUCAUUCCACCUCUCUUUCCUUUCUCUACCAUGUGCACAAUCAUUCAUGUUCCCUAGCUGCAACACCACUCCAUUUUACCCCCAUGCUUUGCAUCAUCACUUCACUUUCACCUUUGAAUCAUUUCAAACACCAAUCAUUGCACUCAAUUGCUACACCAUUCCUUGUUCCCUCCAUCAUUUCAGAUUUUAUGCAUCAUUACAUUGAAUCAUUGCACUCCAUUGCUACACCAUUCCUUGUUCCCUCCAUCAUUUCAUAUUUCAUGCAUCAUUGCACUCAAUUGCUACACCACUCCAUGUUCCCCUCCAUUGCCAUGCACUUCCUCUAUAAAAGGAAGUGUGUGUAACAUAAGCUUAGUUCAUACUUGGUUAGGUCAUUCACUCCAAUUUCAACACAACCUUCAUCCAAACACAUCCAUUCCUACAUACAAACAAACCUUCAAACACUCACCAACACCUUGUGUCGUAGCAAAGGAAGGGAAGGAAAGUGUUGGACGUGCUUGCUGUCCAACUUGGAUCGUUGGAGCAUUUAGGUGUUUUCUUUCUUUUGUUUCUAAUGUUU